CCUACGGGAGGUAGCAGUAAGGAAUAUUGGUCAAUGGGGGCAACCCUGAACCAGCCAUGCCGCGUGCAGGAAGACGGCCCUACGGGUUGUAAACUGCUUUUAUACGGGAAUAAACCUCUCUUCGUGAAGAGAGCUGAAUGUACUGUAAGAAUAAGGAUCGGCUAACUCCGUGCCAGCAGCCGCGGUAAUACGGAGGAUCCAAGCGUUAUCCGGAUUUAUUGGGUUUAAAGGGUGCGUAGGCGGCCUAUUAAGUCAGGGGUGAAAGACGGUGGCUCAACCAUCGCAGUGCCCUUGAUACUGAUGGGCUUGAUUACACUUGAGGUAGGCGGAAUGUGACAAGUAGCGGUGAAAUGCAUAGAUAUGUCACAGAACACCAAUUGCGAAGGCAGCUUACUAAGGUGUUAAUGACGCUGAGGCACGAAAGCGUGGGGAUCAAACAGGAUUAGAUACCCUGGUAGUCCACGCCCUAAACGAUGAAUACUCGAUGUUAGCGAUAUACAGUUAGCGUCAAAGCGAAAGCGUCAAGUAUUCCACCUGGGGAGUACGCCCGCAAGGGUGAAACUCAAAGUAGUAGUAGCGNGAGAGAGACGACGACGACGACGACGGAGGAGGAGG
rnacentral:rRNA from 1 species